rnacentral:rRNA from 1 species
UACAGAGGUCUCAAGCGUUGUUCGGAUUCAUUGGGCGUAAAGGGUGCGUAGGUGGCGGGGUAAGUCAGGUGUGAAAUUUCGGAGCUUAACUCCGAAACUGCAUUUGAUACUGCCUUGCUUGAGGACUGGAGAGGAGACUGGAAUUCACGGUGUAGCAGUGAAAUGCGUAGAGAUCAUGAGGAAGACCAGUGGCGAAGGCGGGUCUCUGGACAGUUCCUGACACUGAGGCACGAAGGCCAGGGGAGUAAACGGG